rnacentral:rRNA from 1 species
CACGUAGGGUGCGAGCGUUGUCCGGAAUUAUUGGGCGUAAAGAGCUCGUAGGCGGUGUGUCGCGUCGGCCGUGAAAACCUGCAGCUUAACUGUGGGCUUGCGGUCGAUACGGGCAUCACUGGAGUUCGGCAGGGGAGACUGGAAUUCCUGGUGUAGCGGUGAAAUGCGCAGAUAUCAGGAGGAACACCGGUGGCGAAGGCGGGUCUCUGGGCCACUACUGACGCUGAGAAGCGAAAGCGUGGGGAGCGAACAGG